rnacentral:rRNA from 1 species
AGUGAACGCUGGCGGUAGGCCUAACACAUGCAAGUCGAACGGCAGCACAGGAGAGCUUGCUCUCUGGGUGGCGAGUGGCGGACGGGUGAGGAAUACAUCGGAAUCUGCCCAGUCGUGGGGGAUAACGUAGGGAAACUUACGCUAAUACCGCAUACGACCUUCGGGUGAAAGAGGGGGAUCGCAAGACCUCUCGCGAUUGGAUGAGCCGAUGUCGGAUUAGCUAGUUGGCGGGGUAAUGGCCCACCAAGGCGACGAUCCGUAGCUGGUCUGAGAGGAUGAUCAGCCACACUGGAACUGAGACCCGGUCCAGACUCCUACGGGAGGCAGCAGUGGGGAAUAUUGGACAAUGGGCGCAAGCCUGAUCCAGCCAUACCGCGUGGGUGAAGAAGGCCUUCGGGUUGUAAAGCCCUUUUGUUGGGAAAGAAAUCUUUCAGGCUAAUACCCUGGGAGGAUGACGGUACCCAAAGAAUAAGCACCGGCUAACUUCGUG